rnacentral:rRNA from 1 species
GUAGGUGGCAAGCGUUGUCCGGAAUUAUUGGGCGUAAAGCGCGCGCAGGUGGGUUCUUUAAGUCUGAUGUGAAAGCCCCCGGGCUCAACCGGGGAGGGUCAUUGGAAACUGGGGAACUUGAGUGCAGGAGAGGAAAGUGGAAUUCCACGUGUAGCGGUGAAAUGCGUAGAUAUGUGGAGGAACACCAGUGGCGAAGGCGACUUUCUGGCCUGUAACUGACACUGAGGCGCGAAAGCGUGGGGAGCAAACAGGUUUAGAUACCCUGGUAGUCCACGCCGUAAACGAUGAGUGCUAAGUGUUGGGGGGUUUCCGCCCCUCAGUGCUGCAGCUAACGCAUUAAGCACUCCGCCUGGGGAGUACGGUCGCAAAGACUG